UUCUCCAUUCUCCACUAGAUGUCACUAGUUCAUACACACUGGACCUUUAAAAAGUCUGCAGUCUUGAGAGUUCCUCACCAGCAUCGUGAAGACAACAUGGACGCUAACUCAGUUUCUUGCAGCUGUUUGAGACACGAUGACUGAACCUCUUCAUUUUUACAUUUGUGACUGAUUUAUUGACUUAUUCAUCAGGUGAGAUGUUAGUUAUGCCUGCUGUGUUUUCUGUGCAAUGACAAUAAAAGGAAGUCUAAGUCUAA